rnacentral:misc_RNA from 1 species
GGAGGAGGAGGAGGAGGGGGUCGAAGCCGGGGUCGGGACGGGCGUCGCACACUGCUCCACCAGCCGCCAGGAGCUCUACACUCCUUGUGUGUGUCUCUCUCUGCCCCCUGCCGUGGCCUCCCUCGCUCCUGCCGGGGCAACCGACGUCAUGGCCACCAAGUAUAAGGCUUCUGAGGGCGACUGGGUGUGCGGGGAGCCGAAAUGUGCCAACGUGAAUUUUGCUCGAAGAAAUACAUGCAACAGAUGUGGCAGAGGAGGCGGAACGCCCAGUGGUCGUGAUGGCAUCGUUGAACUUCUAGAUCGUAGUGGAUCAGGCUCUGCAGCAGCGGCAGCAGCAGCAGCAGCGGCAGAAAAAAAGCGUCAGCUGGGCAUAGAAAUUGGCAAAGCUGCGGCAGAAAAGUCACAUGGCUUGUUUAGUGCAGAUGACUGGCAGUGUAGCAAGUGUGGCAAUGUCAACUGGGCGCGACGACAAACUUGCAACAUGUGCAAUGCUCCAAAAUUUGGUGAUUUAGAGGAGCGCACAGGUUACGGAGGUGGCUUUAAUGAAAGAGAGGGUGUUGAAUACAUCCACCGUGAAGAAUCGGAUGAUGAAUAUGACGAGUUUGGAAGGAAGAAAAAGAAAUUUAGGAAUAAAAUUCCAGUGUCGUCCAGUGAAACAAAAAAGGAACCUGUAGUACAGAAAGUAGUGGCAGAGAAGGUGACUGAAGAGGAUGACGACGACGAUGAUGAUGACGAUGACGAUGGAGAUCUUUCUAAAUAUGAUAUUUGGAAUGAUGUGGAUGAAAACGAUGAUGAUAAAAAUGAUGUGAAAGAUGACAAGAAAAAAAAUGGUAAAGCCGAGGACUCUCCUCGUAAGAGUGGAACAGUAUCAAGGUCACGAUCCCGGUCCCUUAAACGAUCUCGAUCAAAGUCAAGAUCACGCUCAUAUUCCCGAGGCAGGCAUAGCUCCAGGUCUGUCUCGAGAUCCUCGGCUUCUUCCAGAUCAUCGGGUUCUAGGUCCAGAUCUACUAGGUCUUCACGGUCGUGGUCGCGGUCGCGGCGUAGGCCGAGCAACUCCAAAUCAAGAUCUCGGUCCCCCAAAUUGAGGAGACGGGGAUCUAGGUCAAGGUAAAAGGGUAACUAGGGUAAAAGGUCACGGGAUCGUUCCAGUAAGAAGAGGAGAGGGUCUCAGCGUUCCUGCUCCCGUUCCCGCUCCAGGUCGAGAUCUUAUUCAAGAGAGGGGAAGUAUUCCAGAAAGUAAUGGUAUACAAUAUACUGCAACUACACACACACACACACACACAGACACACAUGUUCUCACCAGGCGGAUGUUUUCCCAGUGUUGAGACUUUCACAAUGGAAGUACACGGCAGAAGUAAGAUUUCUUUACUUAACCUUAUUUCCUCAUUAAUGUGCUGUUUUAAGAGUAAUAGGAAACACAAAUUAUAUAUAACUUAUAAAUGUUGAGACUGUUUUCCUUUUAAGAACUUUUGUAGUUUCUCAGAGUUGUGAUGUUCUCCACACUGAGUUGAGCUCAUAUGACCCAAUGUAAUGCCCUGUUAAAAUAUGUGACUUUAUUAAGUUAUCUGGACUAAUUUGAAGUUCACAUUAUAUACUUUUGUGCAUAAUGUGUAUGUGUUCUUGGGAUCAUGAUCUGAUUUAGUAUGUAGUAAUAAUAAUUUGUUCACAUCUGGCUCUACAAAUAAUGACUGUUUCUGGGUCUUGAAAUUGAAGCCUGUUAAAUUUUUAAUUUCAAAAUGCAGUUUUUUUACUUGCUAUUUUUGAAAUUCCAAAGAAAUUAGAAUUAUGAGGGCAUUAAAGCAAAUAAGCUGUGGUAAAUAUUGUGUGUUGUGGUUCCUGUGACUAUGCAAAUGUGUUGUAAUGUGUAGUCUGUAAUGAAAUAUAGGAGCUAUAUGAAAGAGAUGUGAAUGGCUGGUCAAUACCAGUCAGGAGUAACAAGUGAUGUUAUAAACAUUGUAGUAGUUGGAUGGUUAAGGGAACAGUUGCUGUAUAGUUACCAAUUAAGUACCAUUUCUUGCAUUUGACAUUUGCCCAUCAGGUACUACGGCAUGCUUAGUAAUUCACACUAUUGAAAGUUAAACUUGGACGAGUAGUUCAGUCUCGGUGCUUACCAAUAUUUACUCUCCACUCUGCCAUAAAGUGUAAGUGAAAAUAAAAAAAAAAAAUUCCUGUUUUUAUUAUAAAAAUUUUUUUA